rnacentral:rRNA from 1 species
CUGGCGGCGUGCCUAAUACAUGCAAGUCGAACGGUCUUUCUAUGGAAGCUUGCUUCCACUGAGAAGAUAGUGGCGAACGGGUGAGUAACACGUGGGUAACCUGCCCAUAAGAGGGGGAUAACAUCCGGAAACGGGUGCUAAUACCGCAUAGUUUUCUUGAUCGCAUGAUCGGGAAAGGAAAGACGGCCUUUGUGCUGUCGCUUAUGGAUGGGCCCGCGGCGUAUUAGUUAGUUGGUGAGGUAACGGCUCACCAAGACGAUGAUACGUAGCCGACCUGAGAGGGUGAUCGGCCACAUUGGGACUGAGACACGGCCCAAACUCCUACGGGAGGCAGCAGUAGGGAAUCUUCCGCAAUGGACGAAAGUCUGACGGAGCAACGCCGCGUGAGUGAAGAAAGGUUUUCGGAUCGUAAAACUCUGUUGUCAGAGAAGAACAAGUUGGAGAGUAACUGCUCCAGCCUUGACGGUAUCUGACCAGAAAGCCACGGCUAACUACGUGCCAGCCGCUGC